AUCGUGGCUCGUGUCCCAGGUAAUAUAGGAUCGCUACAAGACACCUUUUCCCCUCGAUAAGUGCAGGAAACGUUGACGGUGGUACUCUUCAGCUCUGGGCAGAUCUCUGCAGAAAUUAACGUCGCACAAAAGAGACUCACUGAGACAUGAGACCUGGUGGAACCACUCGCUGUUGAGACAAACGGAAGUAUCUUUAUCGCUCAACUUGUAAUCGUCUUUACAAGUAUAAGUGAUAACACUGUGCUCCGGGACGGUAUCACCAGAACGUUUAUGGCAUAGCUCCUCGCAUCCUGUCAACUUGUAACGUCCGCCUAUUGGCUGUUCAGGUCAACGUGGCUUGUGUCCCAGGUAGUAUAGGCUCGCUACAAGACACCUCUUCUCCUCUGUAGUUGCAGGAAAUGUCUACGCUGGUGCUGUUCAACGGCGGGCAAAUUUCUGCGAAGAUAAACAUCGGACGAGGUAUAAGUGAGAAUACUGUAUUGCGGAACUAUAUCGCCAGGCUGUUUGCGGCAUAGAUCGUCGCAUCCUUCCAACUUAUAACGUCCACCUGUCGGCUGCUCAGGUCAACGUGGCUUGUGUCCCAGGUAGUAUAGGCUCGCUACAAGACACCUCUUCUCCUCUG